UACGAAGGGGGCUAGCGUUGCUCGGAAUGACUGGGCGUAAAGGUCGCGUAGGCGGCUUGCACAGUCAGGCGUGAAAUUCCUGGGCUCAACCUGGGGACUGCGCUUGAGACGUGUGGGCUUGAGUGGGGAAGAGGGUCGUGGAAUUCCCAGUGUAGAGGUGAAAUUCGUAGAUAUUGGGAAGAACACCGGUGGCGAAGGCGGCGACCUGGUCCUUGACUGACGCUGAGGCGCGAAAGCGUGGGGAGCAAACAGG
rnacentral:rRNA from 1 species